AGCGAACGCUGGCGGCAGGCCUAAUACAUGCAAGUCGAACGGCUCUUCGGAGCAGUGGCGGACGGGUGAGUAACGCGUGGGAAUGUGCCCUUUGGUACGGAACAACACAGGGAAACCUGUGCUAAUACCGUAUGUGCCCUUCGGGGGAAAGAUUUAUCGCUUUUAGAGCGGCCCGCGUCUGAUUAGCUAGUUGGUGAGGUAAAGGCUCACCAAGGCUACGAUCAGUAGCUGGUCUGAGAGGAUGACCAGCCACAUUGGGACUGAGACACGGCCCAAACUCCUACGGGAGGCAGCAGUGGGGAAUCUUGCGCAAUGGGCGAAAGCCUGACGCAGCCAUGCCGCGUGGAUGAUGAAGGUCUUAGGAUUGUAAAAUCCUUUCACCGGUGAAGAUAAUGACUGUAGCCGGAGAAGAAGCCCCGGCUAACUUCGUGCCAGCCGCCGCAGUAACAU
rnacentral:rRNA from 1 species